UUCGAAAAGGGAAAACCAUCGCUUCCUAUGGAGAUAAGGGCCCCCAAUUGGCUUCCCAGUCUGCAUUUGAAAUCCGGCCCAGAGAUGGUUUCCAUGACCAACCCGGUGAACAAUAGUGUUGCAGAAACACCUCUCGUGACCGCGAGCAUCGUUGUGCCCCCACAACGGGAAGCUGUGCCCAUUGUUCCGAUAAUGGGACCACCAA